CCUACGGGGGGCAGCAGUGGGGAAUAUUGGGCAAUGGGCGCAAGCCUGACCCAGCAACGCCGCGUGAAGGAAGAAGGCUUUCGGGUUGUAAACCUCUUUUGUCAGGGACGAAGCAAGUGACGGUACCUGACGAAUAAGCCACGGCUAACUACGUGCCAGCAGCCGCGGUAAUACGUAGGUGGCAAGCGUUAUCCGGAUUUAUUGGGUGGAAAGGGCGUGUAGGCGGGAAUGCAAGUCAGAUGUGAAAACUAUGGGCUCAACCCAUAGACUGCAUUUGAAACUGUAUUUCUUGAGUGCUGGAGAGGCGAUCGGAAUUCCGUGUGUAGCGGUGAAAUGCGUAGAUAUACGGAGGAACACCAGUGGCGAAGGCGGAUUGCUGGACAGUAACUGACGCUGAGGCGCGAAAGCGUGGGGAGCAAACAGGAUUAGAUACCCUAGUAGUC
rnacentral:rRNA from 1 species